rnacentral:rRNA from 1 species
UGUCUUUAUGGCAAAUGUGAGAUGCAGUGUAUGGAAUGUCAAAUUUCUAGUAUGAGAAAUUAACGAUUUAAGUCCUUCUUAAAUGAGGCCAUUUACCCAAAGAGGGUGCCAGGCCCGUAUAACGUUAAUGAUUACUAGAUGACAUUUCCAAAGAGUCGUGUUGCUUGAUAGUGCAGCACUAAGUGGGUGGUAAACUCCAUCUAAAACUAAAUAUAACCAUGAGACCGAUAGUAAACAAGUACCGUGAGGGAAAGUUGAAAAGAACUCUGAAUAGAGAGUUAAAUAGUACGUGAAACUGCUUAGAGGUUAAGCCCGAUGAACCUGAAUAUCCUUUAUGGAAAAUUCAUCAUUAUGAUUUUAAUAUUAAUAAUAUUAUAAUAAUGGUGUGCAUUUUUUCCAUAUAUGGACAUUGUAAUCUAUUAAUAUGAAUAUACAAAUUUAUUAUAAGAUCAUUAGCUUUAUGUUUAUUCAAAUUAUUUUGCUUAUGCAUUUUAACAUAGAAUAAAGGCUUUUGAUUUAAUAAAGUGUUGAUAGAUUUAUUAUAUAUAGUGCUUGAAUAUAUAUAUUCUAUAAUGGCAUAUUGAUCAUUGAUCUUUGUGUUUAUAUUAUAUGCACUUAUAUGAUUAACAAUGCGAAAGAUUCAGGAUACCUUCGGGACCCGUCUUGAAACACGGACCAAGGAGUCUAACAUAUUUGCAAGUUAUUGGGAAUUAAAAACCUAAUAGCGAAAUUAACAUAACUUAUAUAUAAUGGGAUUAGUUUUUAGUUACUAUUUUUAAUAGUCUAUUAAUUCAAUCCCGGGGCGUUCUAUACAGUUAUGUAUAAUAAUAUUUAUAUUAUUUAUACCUCUAACUAGAGCGUACCUUGAGCAUAUAUGCUGUGACCCGAAAGAUGGUGAACUAUACUUGAUCAGGUUGAAGUCAGGGGAAACCCUG